rnacentral:tRNA from 1 species
UAUGCCGUAGUCUAAUAGGUAGGACAUAAAUUUUUGGUAUUUAUAAGUAGGUGUUCGAAUCACCUCGGCAUAA